rnacentral:lncRNA from 1 species
UAAUCUUGAAGGAGCAAAAGUUUGUUCAUGAGUUGUCAUGCUCGCUAAGCGAGCAGAAUGGGUCGCCUAGCGAGUCCCAAGAAAAGCCACCAGAAUCACCUACGCUCAAAGGAACUUUUUGAAAUGUCAUGCUCGCUAGGCGAUGCCCACGUGUUUAAAAAAAAACGAAAAAUGAAAUAAAAAAAAAGAACGAAAAACGAAAAUAAAUAAAUAAA